rnacentral:rRNA from 1 species
AUGAGGAUUUGUUCAACUACGCUUGUUCAUCUACUUCAUGGAUUUGGUCUUCUUACAAGCGGGAUUUCAGGUAAGAUACCAUUACCUUGGAUAUCACUACUAUCUUUGCUUGCUAGUUGUCUUGAUGUUAUCGCCGUUACCUACCACUUGUUUGCUAGCCUCCCAGUUUGCCAUGAUAAGCCUCUAAUCCUCACCUUCCUAGCAAAUCUUUGUUUGGCUAUGUUAUCGCCUUGCUCAGCUCCUCUUAUAACGUUACUAGUUGUAGGUGCAGUUUCAGGGUGUUCCAUGUUGGGACAUGGAUAUCAUGGGAUACCACGAUAUCUCUUUUUAAAUAAUGCAUCUAUAUACUUGGUUGUGUGCGGAAGGCUCGACCUUUUGCCUAGUGUUUUGUUCCACUCAUGCCCCACCCUAGUUUUCAUCAUACCGGUGUUAUAUUCCUUGAUUAGCGUACCUAACACGGUUGGGGUUUAUGGUCCCCCUUGA